GGCUGGUUAGCUCAGUCAGUUAAGCGUGGCGCUACCAACGCCAAGGUGGCAGGUUCGAUUCCCGUUCGGUCC
rfam:Apaloderma vittatum contig69913, whole genome shotgun sequence.